ensembl:lncRNA
UCUCUCUCUCUCUCUCUCUCUCUCUCUCUCUCUCUCUCUCUCUCUCUCUCUCUCUCUCUCUCUCUCUCUCUCUCUCUCUCUCUCUCUCCUGGUCCGGUCAGCCCGGGUGUUUAGCAGUCAGCCAGAGCAAGCAGCCCAGGUUGUGUGGUGUGUUGGGGGAGGGGAUGGAAAAAGGGCCUGUGGUUUCAUUUAAUCCACGGCACAGUUUUGUCUUUUUUUCUGGUUUGGUUUUUCCUGAACCUUUCCAGACAUUCUGUUUAUAUCCCCUUGCUGUGUGCUUAUUAACUCGAGGUUGACCUCUGCUUGCUUGUUUCCAGGGGGCUAAAAUUAGGAUGGGCCGGACUUUCUUUAUUUUUUACUGCGUUUUAGAUUUGAAAAGCCAUUCCCCUGAUGUCAACCCACAUGCACAUUGACUUCACAGGGCGUGGCGGGUUCAGUCUCGCUCACCAGGUGUUCUAGGUCCUUACAGUCCGUUACCUGUUAACUACGGCACUUUUUCAGUAGACUUAAGCCAGUCAGUACAUGCUCUUUUUAAAAUUUUAAAACACACACUCUUGUAUGCAUUUAUAACGAACCACCUUUUUCAUUUUCAUAUAUAUCGUGAGGAGAGGAAAGCUGUCUGUAGGCAUGCUAUCGCAUUGUGCUGUGUGUCUUCACCGUUGAAGGCUGAGAGAAAUGCUGGGGAAUGUAUUGACAAGUGUUUUUAGCUUCACGUGGAUGGAAUCCUUUUAUUUUUGAAGUCUUGCAUAGAAUGUAUGCGGACAAUGCUAUCUCUAGAUCUUUAGAUUAGAGUCUCUUUCCUCAGGCGUGCUCCUGAAAUGCAUUGAUUUCCUGUCACGAUGGGUGCCCAGAAAUUCUUAAAAGCUCUUCUGAACAAAUGAAUAAAUGCUGGAUUUCGAUUGAAUCUUGUUAUCAUCUUGCCUUGUCCUUAACUUUUCAAUUUAGUGCUCUGGUUUUCACCCAUGAAUGUAGAGGUCAGACUCUUUCCCUUAGUGAACUUACUACGAAUGUGAAUCAAUGGAAAAUAAAUGCAAAUGCAAUGCAACUUCCCCAGUGUGUCUCCUGCUCCAUUUUGUACUCAAAUUCUUUAAACCACAACAAUCCUGAAUGUAAAUUACUUCCUACGAGGCAUUCCUCGACAAUCACAAUUCAAUUUGUUGCUGUGUGGAGGCGAUUAAACCGUGCCUUAUUUCCUCUGAGAAAUCAGUGAUAUUGUCUUUGUGCUGAGGCUGGGGUGAGGCUGUGGUGAGGCUGUAGUGAGGCUGUAGUGAGCCCUGGUAGAGCAGAGAGAGGCUGCAGUGAGGCUGUAGUGCGGCUGUGGUGAGGCUGUAGUGAGGCUGUGGUGAGGCUGUAGUGAGGCUGUAGUGCGGCUGUGGUGAGGCUGUAGUGAGGCUUUGGUGAGGCUGUAGUGAGGCUGUAGUGAGGCUGUGGUGAGGCUGUGGUGAGGCUGUAGUGAGCCCUGGCAGAGCAGAGAGAGGCUGCAGUGAGGCUGUAGUGAGCCCUGGUAGAGCAGAGAGAGGCUGUAGUGAGGCUGUAGUGGGGCUGCAGUGAGGCUGUAGUGAGGCUGUAGUGAGCCCUGGUAGAGCAGAGAGAGGCUGUAGUGAGGCUGUGGUGAGCCCUGGUAGAGCAGAGAGAGGCUGCAGUGAGG